AUGAACGCUGGCGGCGUGCCUAAUACAUGCAAGUCGCGCGAACAGACGAGGAGCUUGCUCCUCUGACGUUAGCGGCGGACGGGUGAGUAACCCGUGGAUAACCUACCUAUAAGACUGGGAUAACUUCGGGAAACCGGAGCUAAUACCGGAUAAUAUAUUGAACCGCAUGGUUCAAUAGUGAAAGACGGUUUUGCUGUCACUUAUAGAUGGAUCCGCGCCGCAUUAGCUAGUUGGUAAGGUAACGGCUUACCAAGGCGACGAUGCGUAGCCGACCUGAGAGGGUGAUCGGCCACACUGGAACUGAGACACGGUCCAGACUCCUACGGGAGGCAGCAGUAGGGAAUCUUCCGCAAUGGGCGAAAGCCUGACGGAGCAACGCCGCGUGAGUGAUGAAGGUCUUCGGAUCGUAAAACUCUGUUAUUAGGGAAGAACAAAUGUGUAAGUAACUAUGCACGUCUUGACGGUACCUAAUCAGAAAGCCACGGCUAACUACGUG
rnacentral:rRNA from 1 species